rnacentral:rRNA from 1 species
GACGUGAGGUGCAAGCGUUAUCCGGAUUCAUUGGGCGUAAAGUGUUGCGUAGGCGGAUUUGCGCAUUUUGUUUUUAAACCCCAUGGCUCAACCAUGGUUUUUGGGCAAAAUAUGGCAAAUCUAGUAGGAUGGAGAGGGUACUGGAACAGAUCAUGUAGCAGUGAAAUGCGUUGAUAUGAUCUGGAACACCAAAGGCGUAGGCAGGUACCUGGCCAUCUCUAGACGCUGAGGCACGACAGCUUGGGGGAGCGAAGAGG